GGCGAAGGUGGUGCCUGGCUGCUGAAGUCCAUUUUUAUACUUGCUGCUCUUGUUCUUGUUAUUGGUGUGGUUUGGUUCUAUUUCAAGUACAGGACUUUCAAGAACGCAAGAGCUAUUGACAAGUCAAAAUGGAUAUUAAUGUCGUUUCACAAAUUGGGUUUUAGUGAAUACGAGAUCUUGGCAUCUCUUGAUGAGGAUAACGUAAUAGGAAGCGGGUCGUCAGGGAAAGUCUACAAGGUUGUGCUUAGCAAUGGCGAAGCAGUUGCGGUGAAGAAGCUCUGGGGAGGGGUCAAAAAGGAGAGUGAUGAAAGCGACGUUGAGAAAGGUCAGUUCCAGGACGAUGGGUUUGAGGCAGAGGUUGAG
rnacentral:misc_RNA from 1 species